AGAACUGAGUGGAGUAGGAGACGGGGGCUGUAGCUGGUGAGAGGAAGUCCUAGAGGCUAUGGACACUCUGCUGCUGGGAUCACCGAGAUGAGCAGCAGCUGCUCAGGGCUGAGCAGGGUCCUGGUGGCCGUGGCUACAGCCCUGGUGUCUGCCUCCUCCCCCUGCCCCCAGGCCUGGGGCCCCCCAGGGGUCCAGUAUGGGCAGCCAGGCAGGUCCGUGAAGCUGUGUUGUCCUGGAGUGACUGCCGGGGACCCAGUGUCCUGGUUUCGGGAUGGGGAGCCAAAGCUGCUCCAGGGACCUGACUCUGGGCUAGGGCAUGAACUGGUCCUGGCCCAGGCAGACAGCACUGAUGAGGGCACCUACAUCUGCCAGACCCUGGAUGGUGCACUUGGGGGCACAGUGACCCUGCAGCUGGGCUACCCUCCAGCCCGCCCUGUUGUCUCCUGCCAAGCAGCCGACUAUGAGAACUUCUCUUGCACUUGGAGUCCCAGCCAGAUCAGCGGUUUACCCACCCGCUACCUCACCUCCUACAGGAAGAAGACAGUCCUAGGAGCUGAUAGCCAGAGGAGGAGUCCAUCCACAGGGCCCUGGCCAUGCCCACAGGAUCCCCUAGGGGCUGCCCGCUGUGUUGUCCACGGGGCUGAGUUCUGGAGCCAGUACCGGAUUAAUGUGACUGAGGUGAACCCACUGGGUGCCAGCACACGCCUGCUGGAUGUGAGCUUGCAGAGCAUCUUGCGCCCUGACCCACCCCAGGGCCUGCGGGUAGAGUCAGUACCAGGUUACCCCCGACGCCUGCGAGCCAGCUGGACAUACCCUGCCUCCUGGCCGUGCCAGCCCCACUUCCUGCUCAAGUUCCGUUUGCAGUACCGUCCGGCGCAGCAUCCAGCCUGGUCCACGGUGGAGCCAGCUGGACUGGAGGAGGUGAUCACAGAUGCUGUGGCUGGGCUGCCCCAUGCUGUACGAGUCAGUGCCCGGGACUUUCUAGAUGCUGGCACCUGGAGCACCUGGAGCCCGGAGGCCUGGGGAACUCCGAGCACUGGGACCAUACCAAAGGAGAUACCAGCAUGGGGCCAGCUACACACGCAGCCAGAGGUGGAGCCUCAGGUGGACAGCCCUGCUCCUCCAAGGCCCUCCCUCCAACCACACCCUCGGCUACUUGAUCACAGGGACUCUGUGGAGCAGGUAGCUGUGCUGGCGUCUUUGGGAAUCCUUUCUUUCCUGGGACUGGUGGCUGGGGCCCUGGCACUGGGGCUCUGGCUGAGGCUGAGACGGGGUGGGAAGGAUGGAUCCCCAAAGCCUGGGUUCUUGGCCUCAGUGAUUCCAGUGGACAGGCGUCCAGGAGCUCCAAACCUGUAGAGGACCCAGGAGGGCUUCGGCAGAUUCCACCUAUAAUUCUGUCUUGCUGGUGUGGAUAGAAACCAGGCAGGACAGUAGAUCCCUAUGGUUGGAUCUCAGCUGGAAGUUCUGUUUGGAGCCCAUUUCUGUGAGACCCUGUAUUUCAAAUUUGCAGCUGAAAGGUGCUUGUACCUCUGAUUUCACCCCAGAGUUGGAGUUCUGCUCAAGGAACGUGUGUAAUGUGUACAUCUGUGUCCAUGUGUGACCAUGUGUCUGUGAGGCAGGGAACAUGUAUUCUCUGCAUGCAUGUAUGUAGGUGCCUGGGGAGUGUGUGUGGGUCCUUGGCUCUUGGCCUUUCCCCUUGCAGGGGUUGUGCAGGUGUGAAUAAAGAGAAUAAGGAAGUUCUUGGAGAUUAUACUCAGAAA